GAUGAACGCUGGCGGCGUGCCUAACACAUGCAAGUCGAACGGACAGACGAGGAGCUUGCUCCUCUAACGUUGGCGGGGGGCGGAUGAGUAACGCAUGCAUCACCUACCUAUAAGACUGGGAUAACUACGGGGAGCCAGUGCCAAUACCGGAUCAUAUCUUCAACGGCAUGGUUCAAUAGUUAAAGACGGUUUUGCUGUCACUUAUAGAUGGAUCCGCGCCGGAUUGGCUAGUUGGUAAGGUAACGGCUUACCAAGGCAACGAUGCGUAGCCGACCUGAGAGGGUGAACAGCCACACUGGAACUGAGACACGGUCCAGACUCCUACGGGAGGCAGAAGUAGGGAAUCUUGGGCAAUGGGCGAAAGCCUGACGGAGCAACGCCGCGUGGGUGAAGAAGGUCUUCGGGUCGUAAAACUCUGUUAUUGGGGAAGAACAAAUGUAGAAGUAACUAUGCAUGUCGUGACGGUACCUAAACAGAAAGCAACGGCUAACUACGUG
rnacentral:rRNA from 1 species